UUGAUCNUGGCUCAGGAUGAACGCUGGCGGCAGGCCUAAUACAUGCAAGUCGAACGGUAACAGGUUCUAAAGCAAUUUAGAACGCUGACGAGUGGCAAACGGGUGAGUAAUACAUAUGAACUUUCUCUAAGAAGAGGAUAGCCAGUCGAAAGAUUGGGUAAUACUCUAUGUGGCCGAAAGGUUAAAGUUUAAUACGCUUAGAGUGAGGCAUAUGCCCCAUCAGCUAGUUGGUAAGGUAAUGGCUUACCAAGGCUAAGACGGGUAGCUGGACUGAGAGGUUGAUCAGCCACACUGGGACUGCGACACGGCCCAGACAUCUACGGAUGGCAGCAGUAGGGAAUUUUCCGCAAUGGGCGAAAGCCUGACGGAGCCAUGCCGCGUGCAGGAUGACGGCCCUAUGGGUUGUAAACUGCUGUGGUAGCCUACCAAAAAAAUGAGGAGGCUAUUAGAAAGAGGUUGCUAACUCUGUGCCAGCAGCAGCGGUAAUACAGAGACCUCGAGCGUUAUCCGGUAUCACUGGGCGUAAAGCGUACCGAUCGGUUGUUUAGUGUGUCUAAAGUGAAAGACCGAAGCCUAACUUCGUGUUUGCUUUAGAAACUACUAAACUUGAAGGGCAAAGAGGUGGUUGGAACUCUGCAAGUAGGGGUGAAAUCCGUUGAUAUGCAGGGGAACACCAAAAGCGAAGGCAGACCACUAGGUGCCUCUUGACACUUGCUAGGACGAAAGCGUAGGGGAGAGAACGGGAU
rnacentral:rRNA from 1 species